rnacentral:lncRNA from 1 species
UGCGGGCGGCCGCCCAGGUGGGGGGCUCCCAGGCAGCCAGGGCCUCGGACCGCAGCCGUUCCCCGCCCAGGCCCCGGGAGCAGCUUCCAAACCCUGGCCACACUUUCUGUCCAUCCCCGCGUCACCCAGGGACUUCAUGCGGUCGGGGCUUUUCUGUCUGACCGACGACUCGCCCUAAAAGGAGAGGCAAUAAAAUAUCUACCUCGGAGGUUUGUAAAAGUAAAGGAAGAAGUGCGGGAAGUGUCCUAACAGUCACAUCCGUUACUGCCCUGUGAAUGUUCAGAGUCAUUGUCCAAAUCCGAGCAACUGCUGUGUGCUGUAGAAGACAAGGCCAGUCGGGAGUCCUCAAGCCUAUGCACACCAGAAAGGUGAUUCCUAACAUGACACUGCAGAAAUAUUGGGCUGAGGCUGACGGAUUUCAAGAACAAGAGCUGGAAAGAUUGACUAUUCACAAGAGUCCUGGUCUGACCACUGGGGCAUGAACUCAAUCCCUUCCUCACUCCGAAUGGUAAAAUAAAAGUUUUUUGUUAGCUGAGCAUGGUGGUACCUGCUUGUGAUCCCAUCACUCGGGGAGGCUGAGGCAGAUCACAAACUCAAGCCCAGCCUUGGUGAUUUAGUGGCUUACCAGGACUGUCUCAAAAUAAAGUGAUUAAUAAUAAUAAUCAUUUGAAAAGGGAGGUUGAGAUAUAGCUCAGUAUGAAGGGCCUGAGUUCAGUCCCUAGAACCAUCCAUAAAAAAAGAUGUCGCUAUUCAAUUUUGGGGAUGGAGAUGAAGGAGAUUAUAAAGAGGAAAUAGAUAAAAUGAAAAUGAAAAGCAUAAAAUCAUAGAGGAAG